CAAUGGCAUAUAUUAAAGUUGUUGCAGUUGAAAAGCUCGUAGUUGAAUGUUUGUAAAUGAUGGCUGGUCCGCCCUUUGGGCGAGUAUCUGGUACACUGUUUGCACAUGCCUUGAAUCAUGCCUGCACUUGACUGUGUGGGGUUUUUCAAUGCACAUUUAUUUUGAAGAAAUUAAAGCGCUUAUGGCAGGCUCUUGCUGUGCAUGCAUCAGCAUGGAAUAAUGAUGUCAUGAUUUGUUUUGUUGGUUUUUGAUUACAUGAAUAUAUAAAUAGGGAUAGUUGGGGGGCAUUUGAAUUUUAUUGUCAGAGGUGAAAUUCUUGGAUUCAUAAACGUCAAACAAAGGCGAAAGCAUUUGCCUUGGAUGUUUUCACUGA
rnacentral:rRNA from 1 species